rnacentral:rRNA from 1 species
GCAGUGGGGAAUUUUCCGCAAUGGGCGAAAGCCUGACGGAGCAAUACCGCGUGAGGGAAGACGGCCUAUGGGUUGUAAACCUCUUUUUUCAGGGAGGAACAAAAUGACGUGUACCUGAAGAAUAAGCAUCGGCUAACUCCGUGCCAGCAGCCGCGGUAAGACGGAGGAUGCAAGUGUUAUCCGGAAUCACUGGGCGUAAAGCGUCUGUAGGUGGUUUGUUAAGUCAACUGUUAAAUCUUGAGGCUCAACUUCAAAUCAGCAGUCGAAACUAUCAGACUAGAGUAUAGUAGGGGUAAAGGGAAUUUCCAGUGGAGCGGUGAAAUGCGUAGAUAUUGGAAAGAACACCGAUGGCGAAGGCACUUUACUGGGCUAUUACUAACACUCAGAGACGAAAGCUAGGGUAGCAAAUGGGAUUAGAUACCC